rnacentral:rRNA from 1 species
UACGGAGGGCGCAAGCGUUGUUCGGAAUCACUGGGCGUAAAGCGCGCGCAGGCGGGUGUGCAAGUCGGAAGUGAAAUCCCGGGGCUCAACUCCGGGGCUGCUGCCGAUACUGCACGUCUGGAGACCAGUAGGGGUUGGUGGAAUUCCCGGUGUAGCGGUGGAAUGCGUAGAUAUCGGGAAGAACACCUGUGGCGAAGGCGGCCAACUGGGCUGGAUCUGACGCUGAGGCGCGAAAGCGUGGGGAGCAAACAGGAUUAGAAACCCCCGUAGUCC